rnacentral:rRNA from 1 species
AGAGUUUGAUCAUGGCUCAGAGUGAACGCUGGCGGCAGGCCUAAUACAUGCAAGUCGAACGGCAGCACAGCAGAGCUUGCUCUGUGGGUGGCGAGUGGCGGACGGGUGAGGAAUACGUGGGAAUCUGCCCAGUCGUGGGGAUAACGUAGGGAAACUUACGCUAAUACCGCAUGCGCCCUUCGGGGGAAAGCCGGGGACCUUCGGGCCUGGCGCGAUUGGAUGAGCCCACGUCGGAUUAGCUAGUUGGCGGGGUAAAGGCCCACCAAGGCGACGAUCCGUAGCUGGUCUGAGAGGAUGAUCAGCCACACUGGAACUGAGACACGGUCCAGACUCCUACGGGAGGCAGCAGUAGGGAAUAUUGGACAAUGGGCGCAAGCCUGAUCCAGCCAUGCCGCGUGAGUGAAGAAGGCCCUCGGGUUGUAGAGCUCUUUUGUCCGGAAAGAAAAGCGCCGGGUUAAUACCCUGGUGUCCUGACGGUACCGGAAGAAUAAGCACCGGCUAACUUCGUG